rnacentral:sRNA from 13 species
CUCCAAAGAAGCGCCACAAUAAAAACAGAAAACUUGAAGAAGAAGCAGCGUGAAGUUCAAAGCCUUGGGAGGCGGGAGAUCCGAUCCGGACGACAACUGACCCACCCGGUGUUCCACAGAUGCCUCUGACCCCUGAUGAAGUCAACAACAUCAAAGUAAAUGCGAGGAGGUCAAGCGUUAAGUCAUAAAAAAGGGCUCCCCAUCCCCCUUAAAAAGAAAAAAUGGAUGGGGGAAAAUGGGGAAAUGCGAGUAUGUAUAACAUUAUAACAUGCUGCUGCAUCAUUGUGGAAAGCCACAGAUAAAUGUUAAUCAUCGCAGGCAGAGUCAUCAACGUCAUCGUUGUCAUUGCGAUUGUGAUUCCCUUUUGCCCACUGAUACACUGAAGAAAACAGAUUUAUUGCUGCAUUCAAUAUUAACUAGGAAUAAAGUGUACUUGCACUUAUGAUCUUCCACUAUUUAGAAUAAUGUGCUCUUCACUUAGAAUAUAGAUCAUUUCCAAAACGAUCUAAUUUUUUUCUGUGCCUGAAAACCUCAAGAAGAAGGCCGACUUCGACCUGAAUAAAAAGUAUUUUAGAAUGCGCUAAUUACAUAAAAACUGGCUGAUUCCUUGAAAGCGGCAAACAAAGUUGUCGGUACAAACAAACCUCGGCGAAUGAGCCUCCGGCCUUUGGGCUAAUUAACAUUGUUCCCCCGGCCAUAUUUUCAAAUGAAAAUAUUCCACUUUAAUUGUGGCUCAAGCUAAACCAUAUAUAUAUAUAUAUGUAUAUAUACAAACUUGUAUUAGAAAAAUGAUUUAAAGACACGACCCGAGAAAUAAUUGUCAACAUCGCCUUGGCGUCGUCCGCCGAGUACGAACCAUCUAGAAAUGUUCCAUGCGAUCUUUGGCUCGUUCAAUUGCAACCAGUUUUAGCCCGGAUGAAGAGAGGCGAGGAAAACGAGAUGGAAAACUGGCAGCCAACUGGAGAACAAGACAGCACAGUACAACACAACCGGCUUUUAAUUAAUUACCUUUUUUGGCCAAACUAUUUAUUGUUGUUACAGAACUCUAAACAGCACAGAACUGAACUGAACAAAGUCGAGUCCAUGUUAACUAGAUAUCUCUGUUCUGGGUCUUCAAGUUCAACGAAAUGUGAAUUGCGUGUGGUCCGCGAAUAAGAAAGAGGGUAAACAUGAACCACAAAGGCGAACGAAUGAAAUGAAGGUAAAAGAACACAAAAAGGGCGAAAGGGGUUAAAAGCAGCUGGAGAAAGAAUGCAGGGGGCAAAAGGAAGUGGCAAGAGGAGAGGAGGGUGCGAUGAGAAGAUCCCGACAAAAUCAGAGGCGCAUGCGAAAACAAUUGAAGCGUGCAAAAAGCAGCUGAAGAGGGGAAGACACG